rnacentral:lncRNA from 1 species
AUUUUUUUUCUUUAAGAUAAAAGUAUUGGUUGAGGCACUGGUUUAUAAGCAUUUGUGGACUUUGCAGCCUUAUCUUUAAAAAAAAAAAAAUUAAAACUGUGGUCCUUAAAUAUCCUGUCUGAACUUUGGAUUGGAAGGCACAUUUCCCUUUGUUAUUGGCUAUGUAGAUUAGCUUAGAAUCUGUAAGCAUAUAGUGUGGUUAAAUAUGUAUUUCAACUUUUGUUAUCUUUGUUGAUUACUUGAAUACCCUAAAACCAAUGGCUGGGAAAAGAUCAUUGCCAGACUAUGUCUUCCUGAUGGAUCUUUCUUCCUGAUGGGUCUUAAUGGUUCCAGUCAGUCUGUGGCCAGAUUCAGGAUGAGAUAACAUUCACCAUGUCCUCUCUGUAGGGUUUCUCAUGUUUUGUCUUUAUCACCUGGUUUCUGGAGAAGCAGCUGCAGUCUGAGUUAUGAUACCACUUGUGGUGUAUCAGUUGCUUAGGGUGGGGAAGAAGUAUAGGCUUGUCUGUAUUCCUCUGUGCCGGGAGCUGGAGUCAAGAUUGGAAGUGGAACCUAAGUGUCAAGAGUUGACAGUCAUGUCCUUCCUACUGGCAAAACUCUUCUGAGCCCAGUGGGCAUGGUGGGAGCUGGUCUCAUAACCUUUGUGACUAGAGAAAGGAUCUUUUUCUUAAACUAUGCUUUAUGAGUUUGUCCCUGGAGAGCUGCUUCUUGAAGUGUCUUGGCGCUUGCUUCGGAACUUUCUUGAGUAAAUUAAGACAUUCAUAAUUGCAAAC